AAUAUUGGACAAUGGGGGCAACCCUGAUCCAGCCAUGCCGCGUGUGUGAAGAAGGUCUUCGGAUUGUAAAGCACCUUAAGUUGGGAGGAAGGGCUUUAGGUUAAUACCCUCAAGUUUUGACGUUACCAACAGAAUAAGCACCGGCUAACUCUGUGCCAUCAGCCGCGGUAAUACAGGGGGUGCAAGCGUUAAUCGGAAUUACUGGGCCUAAAGCGCGGGUAGGUGGUUCAGUAAGAUGGGUGUGAAAUCCCCGGGCUUAACCUGGGAACUGCUUUCAUAACUGCUGGGCUAGAGUACGGUAGAGGGUAGUGGAAUUUCCUGUGUAGCGGUGAAAUGCGUAGAUAUGGGAAGGAACACCAGUGGCGAAGGCGACUACCUGGACUGAUACUGACACUGAGGUGCGAAAGCGUGGGGAGCAAAC
rnacentral:rRNA from 1 species